GACGAACGCUGGCGGCGUGCUUAACACAUGCAAGUCGAACGGAAAGGCCCUGCUUUUGUGGGGUGCUCGAGUGGCGAACGGGUGAGUAACACGUGAGUAACCUGCCCUUGACUUUGGGAUAACUUCAGGAAACUGGGGCUAAUACCGGAUAGGAGCUCCUGCUGCAUGGUGGGGGUUGGAAAGUUUCGGCGGUUGGGGAUGGACUCGCGGCUUAUCAGCUUGUUGGUGGGGUAGUGGCUUACCAAGGCUUUGACGGGUAGCCGGCCUGGGAGGGUGACCGGCCACAUUGGGACUGGGAUACGGCCCAGACUCCUACGGGAGGCAGCGGUGGGGAAUAUUGCACAAUGGGCGGAAGCCUGAUGCAGCAACGCCGCGUGCGGGAUGACGGCCUUCGGGUUGUAAACCGCUUUCGCCUGUGACGAAGCGUGAGUGACGGUAAUGGGUAAAGAAGCACCGGCUACCUACGU
rnacentral:rRNA from 1 species